UGGGGAGAUAGAGGUGGUAGUCGCCCAGUACCUGCAGCUGCUGCAGGGCGGCAUCCUCCACCAUUUCGGCCAACCCAGGGCCGGGCAGGCAAUCUAGUGAUGACGGUGCUGGUGCCACUGG
rnacentral:SRP_RNA from 11 species